rnacentral:rRNA from 1 species
CAGUCGCCGCGGUAAUACAGAGGGUGCGAGCGUUAAUCGGAUUUACUGGGCGUAAAGCGUGCGUAGGCGGCUUUUUAAGUCGGAUGUGAAAUCCCUGAGCUUAACUUAGGAAUUGCAUUCGAUACUGGGAAGCUAGAGUAUGGGAGAGGAUGGUAGAAUUCCAGGUGUAGCGGUGAAAUGCGUAGAGAUCUGGAGGAAUACCGAUGGCGAAGGCAGCCAUCUGGCCUAAUACUGACGCUGAGGUGCGAAAGCGUGGGGAGCAAACAGGAUUAGAGACCCCGGUAGUCCCUGUCUCUUAUAC